rnacentral:rRNA from 1 species
AACGAACGCUGGCGGCGCGCCUAAUACAUGCAAGUCGAGCGAGAAGACGUAGCAAUACGUUUGUAAAGCGGCGAACGGGUGAGGAAUACAUGGGGUAACCUACCCUCGAGUGGGGAAUAACUAGCCGAAAGGUUAGCUAAUACCGCGUACGCUCCUUGGACUUCGGUUCAGGGAGGAAAGCGAUACCGUGGGUAUCGCGCUCUUGGAUGGGCUCAUGUCCUAUCAGCUUGUUGGUGAGGAACGGCUCACCAAGGCUUCGACGGGUAGCUGGUCUGAGAGGACGAUCAGCCACACUGGCACUGCGACACGGGCCAGACUCCUACGGGAGCAGCAGUAAGGAAUAUUGCGCAAUGGGCGAAAGCCCUGACGCAGCGACGCCGCGUGGGGGA